rnacentral:tRNA from 1 species
GCAGGGUUAGCUCAGUUAGCGUGGUGCUAAUAACGCCAAGGUCACAGGUUCAAUCCCUGCUCUCUGCA